AACCGAGUACUGCCGCAGUGUUCUGACUGUGGUAAGGUAGCAUAAUAAUUAGUUAUUUGAUUGAUAACUAGAAUGAAUGGCUUGACGAGAAGUAUAUUUUCUUCAAUUUUAUUUAAAUUAAUUAAUAAAUAAAAAAGUUUAUAUAUAUUAGACUGACGAUAAGACCCUAAAACCUUUAGAUAUAAAUUUUAACA
rnacentral:rRNA from 1 species